rnacentral:rRNA from 1 species
AUUGAACGCUGGCGGCAUGCUUUACACAUGCAAGUCGAACGGUAACAGGGUGCUUGCACCGCUGACGAGUGGCGAACGGGUGAGUAAUGCGUCGGAACGUGCCGAGUAGUGGGGGAUAACGCAGCGAAAGUUGUGCUAACACCGCAUACGUACUGAGGUAGAAAGUGGGGGACCUUCGGGCCUCACGCUAUUCGAGCGGCCGACGUCUGAUUAGCUAGUAGGUGAGGUAAAGGCUCACCUAGGCGACGAUCAGUAGCGGGUCUGAGAGGAUGAGCCGCCAAACUGGGACUGAGACACGGCCCAGACUCCUACGGGAGGCAGCAGUGGGGAAUUUUGGACAAUGGGCGAAAGCCUGAUCCAGCCAUGCCGCGUGUCUGAAGAAGGCCUUCGGGUUGUAAAGGACUUUUGUCAGGGAGGAAAUCCCUAGUGCUAAUAACACUGGGGGAUGACAGUACCUGAAGAAUAAGCACCGGCUAACUACGUGCCAGCAGCCGCCGUAA